UAAUUAAAAAAGAAACUGCUUGGCCCUCAUAGGUUAGAACAUAGGUGGGUGGAGUAAACAGAACAGAAUGCUGGGAGGAAGAGGAAGUGAGCUCAGAUGCCAUUUCCUCUCCUCUCCAGGGCAGAUGCAAUGAAGCAAGCCGGCAGGUCAGACAUGCUGAAUCUUUCCCGCGCAUCCAGAUCACAAGCUGCUUGCUGACCAGAGUCCACAAGAACCGAUGUUAGCAACAUGAGCCAGAACUGUACUCUGCAGAAUGUCAUUUCAUGUGAGGCCCUGAUGAGUUCUAUUUGUGGAAGACAACUGAAAGGUUCACCAAGCCCGAGAAUGUGUGUCUGCCCUUACUGAAAGGAAACCACUUCCUACUUCUUAAAAUAACCAGGACUGGAAAGGAACUGCACCAGGUCAUUAGUGACAUUAGGACACCGAGUGCUGCAGACGGAGAAAGACUGGUACCAAGCGGCGGCGGUCUAAGAGCUCCUGGAGCUGAAGCUGCUAUCUGAUUAACUCUCUCUGAGAGCCUGUCUAAGAGCAUUCGCCACGUGCUUCUGACUGGCAGGUGGGACUGAGGAGAGUGAGAUUCCCAUGAAGAUGAUCAUCCCACAUUAUAGAAUCUCUUGAUAGCCGUGCUGAUCUUUGCUGUACCCAAUGAGAUUGCCUCUGACUUACUUGGCCCUCCCUUUCCGAAUGCCCCUUCCAAAGAUCAGGUUCCUGCAGUCCAUCCACUUCUACUGUACCUGUUUCUUGCAGGGCACAGCAGCCAACCACCAGAAGCUAGCAACACUCAGUGUUAACCCUGGGGAAGAAACUAACCCUGCCCCGAACAGAUCGUUCUGGCAACCUAGAAUGGUAUACUCUCCAUGGGGGUAACCUCCAGAUGUGUCUGUAAGUGGGCAAGGAGGAGGCUGUUGUAAAGUUCCAAAGUUAAGCAGAAGCCAAACUAUGCAAGAUCUUGCAAGCUAUGACAGGUCUUUCUGUACAAAACUGACUGCCCUCAAGACCAUAAUCCUCCUGUUUCAGACUCCCUAGUGCUGGAUUUAGAGGCGCAUGCCCCAUGGUCUCCCUGCUUCAGACUCCCGAGUGCUGGGCUUAGAGGCGCAUGCCCCAUGCUUGGCUUCAUGAGGUAGUUUUUAUGUGAUGUGGAAACUUCAUUCCCUAGUUAUAAAUACUAAUGCAAUGAUGGGAGUUUACAUACAGGACACAAUAGAGGGAACAGAUUUAUCAAAAUUCACACAUUUGUUUUCAACUAGCUGCUUAAAUAAGUUCAUUUCUUUCAUGUAAUAAAUGUUGAUUAAAAUCUUGAAAAAGACUUUCAACUACAAAAGUACUUUUCCCGAAAUCUCUCUUGUAACACCUAGCAGCACAUUUGUAAAAAUUGUCCUUGAGUGAGUUUGUCUUGCCUGACAAUUAAUCUGAGAUAGAACCAACACUGUGUUUUUCAAUUACAGAGAGUUUGCCAGGCUCUUUGAACAUCCUAGAACGCCAAGUAACUGAGAAAAUUCUUGUCUCCUGGCACGAUAGACUGAGUUUCCUUUUCAUUUUCUGUCUAAAUUGAGCACCAUAUAGUAGAGAUUCAUUAAAAUCUACUCAAUUAU